rnacentral:misc_RNA from 1 species
CAGGCAAGGAACAGACCCG